rnacentral:rRNA from 1 species
GAUGAACGCUAGCGGGAGGCUUAAUACAUGCAAGUCGAGCGGCAAGGUCUUCGGACCCUAGAGCGGCGCACGGGUGAGUAACGCGUACGCAAUCUGCCCUUCAGUGAGGAAUAGCCCUGGGAAACUGGGAUUAAUACCUCAUAACAUUAUCUGUUCGCAUGGAGAGAUAAUUAAAGUUCUGGCGCUGAAGGAUGAGCGUGCGUCUGAUUAGCUUGUUGGUAGGGUAACGGCCUACCAAGGCUACGAUCAGUAGGGGGCGUGAGAGCGUGACCCCCCACACGGGUACUGAGACACGGACCCGACUCCUACGGGAGGCAGCAGUAAGGAAUAUUGGGCAAUGGAGGCAACUCUGACCCAGCCAUCCCGCGUGAAGGAUUAAGGCCCUAUGGGUUGUAAACUUCUUUUGCUUGGGAAGAAAUCUGGACAUUUAUGUGCAGUUGACGGUACCUUGCGAAUAAGCACCGGCUAACUCCGUGCCAGCAGCCGCGGUAAUACGGAGGGUGCAAGCGUUAUCCGGAAUCACUGGGUUUAAAGGGUGCGUAGGCGGUUUGAUAAGUCAGAGGUGAAAGCUAGCAGCUUAACUGUUAAAUUGCCUUUGAUACUGUCAGACUUGAAUCAGGUUGAGGUAGGCGGAAUGUGACAUGUAGCGGUGAAAUGCAUAGAUAUGUCAUAGAACACCAAUUGCGUAGGCAGCUUGCUGGGCUUGAAUUGACGCUGAGGCACGAAAGCGUGGGGAUCAAACAGGAUUAGAUACCCUGGUAGUCCACGCCCUAAACGAUGUUAACUCGAUAUUUAUUCUUCGGAGUGAGUGUCCAAGCGAAAGCGUUAAGUUAACCACCUGGGGAGUACGUUCGCAAGAAUG